UAACGAUUUCAGGAUGUGGAGGACCGCCCUCUGGAGGUGUAUGCAAUUGAUGUGAGAAAUAUCAAAACGUGUGUUUGUAGCCAGCACUUUCAGCCAGAGGAUUUCAAAACCGAACUGAAGUCUUAACAAAUGGGGUUGUCAUGUCGUCGAAAGUUGAAAAGUGAUGCUAUUCCAUCGAUUUUCCCCUUCACUUCAAAGAGGAAGGAUUCUGAUCAGCCAACAUCAGCGCAGCAGAAAAAUUCAUGCCGAGACCUCCACGCUGCCUGUUUCUGCAUGAUUCAAGAAGGCAAUGAGCUCCUUCGUUUCUGAUUUAUGGAGGCUUAGUUGAUUCUUCAUUCAUGGCUUGAAGUCUAAACUGGAGAAAAGGAGGAGACUUGCAGUACAUACAAAUCUUCUGCAAGAUGUCGAAGCAGUUGGUGGUGAAGAACAUUGCCACAGUGCCAAAGCCUGUUAAACCUGCUGCUAUUACCCAACACAAGACGAUGUUCACGAGCUGAAGAACAUUCUGGAACCUGCCUGGAACAUUCAACCAACACAACAUCCAUAUUCAGUUAGACUGAUGUUGUAGUAUAAGAAUGUGCGCAACUACGUUGUGGUAUAGAUAGGUUUAGGGUUUCCACAUGGCCAUAUUUACAUGUUACAGCGCUUGUUUACGGAAAACAGAAGACCGAGUGGACUAAUUAGCUAUCUGUGUCUCCGAACACCUGUGUGUAAACGGAAGACAGAUGUCACAAACGUGUUGUCACUGAAAAAUACUGUUGGUUGUAACUGUGUUAAAACAGUCUACAGUAAGUGUGAAUUUUGCAUUUGUGAAAUGAUUUUGAUGUGAUAUGAAGGUAGAGGGAUUUAUGUUUCUUGAACCGUAUCGCAGUUGAGAAGCGAUUCACAUUUACACAUUUGCACUGUUUUGUCUACCAGAGCCAAUUCACCCUUUAAACGGAAAUGUAAGGUCCCUGGACUACGGAGUAACGAUAGGCUCCUUUAGUCCAAUAUUGGGCCAAGAUAUUUCUAGCUGUUGUACAUAUGUAUAUAAUGGUGUUUUUAUAUAUAUAUUUUUUUUUACAAGUGUACUGACAAGUGCCUAAUGAUUCCAGCUGCAUCAAAAACCAAUAAAGUGUUGACUUCAA